rnacentral:rRNA from 1 species
AAUGAACGUUGGCGGCGUGGAUUAGGCAUGCAAGUCGUGCGAGAACCGUAGCAAUACGGGGACAGCGGCGAAAGGGAGAGGAACACGUGGAUACCUACCCUCGGGUCCAGGAUAGCUGUGGGAAACUACAGGUAAUACUGGAUGACAUCUCUGGAUCAAAGGUGUGAUUCCGCCCGGGGAGGGGUCCGCGUCCUAUUAGCUUGUUGGUGAGGUAACGGCCCACCAAGGCAAAGAUGGGUAUGUGGUGUGAGAGCAUGCCCACACUCACUGGGACUGAGACACUGCCCAGACACCUACGGUUGGCUGCAGUCGAGAAUCUUCGGCAAUGGGCGCAAGCCUGACCGAGCGACGCCGCGUGCGGGAUGAAGGCCUUCGGGUUGUAAACCGCUGUCAGAGGGGAGGAAAUGCCGGUGGGUUCUCUCAUCGGUUUGACCUAUCCUCAGAGGAAGGACGGGCUAAGUUCGUGCCAGCAGCCGCAGUAACAC